rnacentral:lncRNA from 1 species
UAGAAUUUACUAGAGUGUUAAAAGUUUCAUAGGAAAUAGUCUCUGAAUAUCAGGAACACUUUAGAGUUUCCACCAGUGGGGAAAAGAUGAGCUAUUCAAUAAACAAUAUUAGAUUUUAUUCAUAUCUCAAAUCUUACACCAAAAUAAAUUUCAGAUAGAUCAAGACUUACAUGUGAAAAAAAUGAAAACUUGAAAGUAAGACAAGAAAAUAUGGGAGAAUUAUUUUACAAUCUGGGAAAGCCUUUCUAAGCAUGAUGCAAAAUAUAGAUGCAAUAAAACGAAAGAAGCUAAAUAUAAAUACAUGUUUUAAAUUCUGCUUAGUAACAACACCAGAAACAAACUCAAAAGGCAUGAAAAGCUUGGAACAACUAUUUGUAUUCCUAUGGAUUGAUAAGAAAAAGACCAGUAAUUCACUGAAAAAAAAAAAAUGGGCAGAGGAUAUGAACAGACAGUUCUUAGAAAUUUCAAAUGGCUUUUAAACAUAUGAAAGUAUGCUCUAUCUUUCCAUAAUAAAGAAAAUGCAAAUUUAAAAUACCAGAUUGGCACAGAUAAAAAUUUUGAUAACACCAUGUGGGUGAAGGUUAGAGAAACAGAUGCUCUCACAUAUUGCUGGUGGGAGUGUAAACUGGCUCAACCCCUGCGGAGAACAACUUGACGAUAUCUAUCAAAAUCUAAAGCGCAUGUUUUGGCAGGCGCCAUGAGUUGUGUACCCCAAAAUCAUUGCUCCAUACUCCUUGUUAAUAGAAUCCAUUUGUUCAAGUGGCAAUGUGCCAAGCCCCAAGAAACGAAUUUAUGUGCAGAUGCAUUCAUAUUCAUUAAGCACUUACUGGGUGCUGGGCACUGUUCUGGGCUCUGGGGAUGCAACAGAGAAGGAAGCAGAACAACCUCCCCCCGCCUUCAUGACAAUCCUGCACCCACUGAUGAAGAUACCAGAGCAAAAUGGCAAUAGUGGUAUUUUGAUGUGUAUUUCAGAUAAUAAAUGACCACCAUAUAAUUUUUCAUCAAAACUCACACACUUUUGAGAUUGAAUGCAAUGCUAUUAAAAAAUAUACUAGGGCCAGGCACGGUGGCUCACGCCUGUAAUCCCAUCACUGUGGGAGGCCGAGCCAGGGCGUCACUUGAGGUCAGGAGUUUGAUACCAGACUGGCCAACAUGGCGAAACCCCGUGUCUACUAAAAAUACAAAAAUUUGCCAGGCAUGGUGGUGCGUGCCUGUAAUACCAGCUACUCAGGAGGCUGAGGCAGGAGAAUCACUUGAACCCAGGAGGUGGAGAUUGCAGUGAGCUGAGAUCACGCCACUGCACUCCAAUCUGGGUGACAGAGCGAGACUCUGUCUCAAAAAAAAAAAAAAAAAAAAAAAUGCUAGGACAAGAGGUACAAACUGGCCUUGUCCCAAGCAAACUGGGAAAUAUGGUUACCUGUAAUCCUAAAACAUUGAUGAUGUCAACACUGCCUCAGUUGCUAUGAUGCCCUUCAAUUCUAAAAUGACUCCAUCACGAAAGUGAAGAAAAUCAGAACCCAAACUAGCUCUAGAGAAAAGAUACUCAACCUCUUUAAUAAUGAGGAAAAUAUAGAAACAAAUCAAUAAUAAGAUGCCUUGGAAGGAUUUGAAAGACAGGAAUGAUAGGUUCAGAAUGGUUUCAAAACUUGUCCAACUUUUCUAACAUGGUGAUAUCUGUGUAAAAAAAAAAAAAAACUUGUCCAGCUUUGAUUUGAAAUUGUAAUGCAGUCUUCUGGAUGUAUCUCCUGAAAUAGAAAUGAUGAAAACAUCAUUGUUGAAUUGAGGAAAAAUGGUGUUAUACUAACAAAUUUCAGCUCUUACACCCAGCACAGAAAACUAGAAUAAAAAAAAAAAAAAACUAAUAUUAGAAUCAUUAUUCAUACCCUUUUGCCUGGCAGUCAGUUUCCCAGCCUCUGUGUGGCCCAAUAGUGGUUAAUGAAACAGGAAAACAACUGUCAGGAUUUCCCUGGAAAGGCUUUCUCCCAGUAAAAAGGGACAUUCAAAAGUAUAGUGUGCUGGAGCUGCCUCUUCCCUCAUGUUCCAGCCUUGAAACUGGCCAUGAUGGCUGCAGCAGCUACUCCAGCUACUCUGGAGGCUGAGGCAGAAGAACUGCUUGAAGCCGAGAGGCAGAGGUUGCAACAAGCUGGGAUCACGCCAUUGCACUCCAGCCAUACUUACAGGCUCUGAUUAAGUUUCAAAGACUAAGCCUGCCAUGCUUGUCGGUGUGUGAUUCCUUCCUCUAAGAUUCCAGACAUUCCCGUCUCCAGGCAUCACUGUGUCGGGGGAGCGCUGUGUGAAAAUGGCUGUGAUCUUUGUGCGGUUUGUCCGGUUAUACCUCACUGGGACACCAGAGGGCGCAAGGAGGGCCAGCACUUGUUUUUCUUUAAAUCUCGAAUCAAAGUCCAUGCAGAGAACAACAAAAGACCCGGAACACAGGGGCCUUGAGACAAAGGGACUCAGGGGAAAAGGCUGCACGCCCUGUUUUACUGAAGUGGAAUUUGCUUCUUCACCCUCCUCACCUCCUCACCUCCUCCCCACCUUAAGGAACUAGAAAUAAACAACUUAAGCUGCAAAAUAAUGAAAUCUGGCUAACAAGGAAAACCAAACUAGAAUACAUUACUCAACAUGUCAUAGGCUAAGAGGACUAUCACAAAUGUACAUUUGAGCUAUUUGCUUUGCCUAAUAUUAAUAACUUUAAAGAAAAUUUUAUUGUUUGCUUUUCUGAGUUCAAUAUAUGCACAUAGUAGAAAAUUUAGAAAAGGUGGAAUAGCAAAAAGAACAGCGAUCAUCAACACACUCUUAACCCAGAUAUAACUACUUUUAAUAUCUUCAGCUACUUCUUUCCAAAAGAAGUAGAAACUGUUCCAUCCCACCCCAAACAGGCUGAAUAAUUUGUCCUUCUGGGUAGCCUGAGGACUGAAUGCCAAAGGGCCAGGGGGUGUGGGUCACCAGGACCCUUUGUUCCUCACACUGGGGCUAGUGUUUGCCUCAAAGCUAGACAGAUCAGUAAAGCUAUUAACCGGGAUAGGUCAGCAGGUGGUCAGUAGGGCAGGAAAAAAGUCAGGAAAACGGAGGUCACUGAUCUCCUGUUGGGUUGGGGCCAAUGUUGGCAGGCAGGUUCCUUAAAGGACAGGAAGCUUAGGCCAGCCCAGGAACAGAUAACUCUAAGGAAAGUGAUGGCAAGAUCUGAGGCCCUGAAAACCUCUGAGGGACACCUAAUCACUAAGCCCACAGAUUCCUUAAUUUACAGCAACAGAUAAAGGUGAUGUUCUCGGCCACAGGAAUUUAGUUAAAUCACUGGAGCUGUCUGGCCUCAGUUUCCUUAUCUGUAUAACGAAAGGAUCAAGAAGAUAGGUAAGGUUCCUGUCAGUUCCUCAAAGAUUGUGAUGUUUAAUUCUCCCCAGUCAUGCAUUAUAAUGAAAGGUGAAGACAUUUCCUGCCCCCUGCCACUCCAGUCCCCUAAGCAGCAGCCCCUCCACCAUAUACUCUUUCCCGCAUUGCCACUUUUCCCAAAUUGCCACAUGCUCUGAGCCUUUGUAUUAAUGUUUCUCUGUUCCCUAAGUGCUGGAAAACAUUUCCCCCAUUCUUUUUCUAAGUUCAUCAUCAUUCUUUGGUGGCCCAGCUAAAAAUAGGUCUUUCUUUGACCACUCCAGCCCUUCCCUCUCUGUAAUCCCGUAGUAUUCUGCACAUACCUCCAUCACUUUCUACCUCUGUAGCCUUCAUCUUCCAGUGCCUCAGUUUCCUCACUGUAAAAAGGAGAAAAUUAUUAUAGCAAACUCAUAGGAUUUAAAUAAGGAUUAAAUGGUAUUAAAUAAAAUGUAUAGUAAGUCAUUGGUUUGAACCAGAGGCUAGGAAAGGGCAAGGUGAAGCGUUUGUCACUUCCAGUUAAACUGUAGCCACAAAAAAAAAAGACUUAUGAAUUGUUUGAAGAGGCACGAGACCGUGGCAACCCUAACUGUCCCCGACAUCUGGCAGCCAUAUGCUAUCCUUGAACUUGAACUUCAGAGUGAAAGUAUAAAUUUGUAAGGGGAAGGCUCAGCCGCAAGUCACAUACCAGUGGUCAGUUAAAAAAAAAAAACUCAGGACGGCAACCUAAAUCAUUUAGAACGCGUCAAGAGCCUCGGAAAAACUAUUUUCACACACUUCUCUAGCACUAACAUGGGAAGCGCGUUUCCUUCACAUAUUCCACACCUUUUAUUCUUCCCACCAACAUCAAGAAUACAAAGCGCCCAGAGAGGACAAUAAGCCUAAGCAGCGGCUCCAAGAGACCGGACUUUCGUACUUCCCGGGGGCAGGCGGAAGGUUACGGAGCGCUGGAAGGAUCUUACUGCUCCUUGAAGGGCUGUCUGAGAAAAUACACAGCCUAACGACUCCUCGUUAGUAUAGUGGUUAGUAUCCCCGCCUGUCACGCGGGAGACCGGGGUUCAAUUCCCCGACGGGGAGGUGUGUAGCUGCACUUUUUUGGCGACAGUUAUUAUUUUCUGUAUCAUUCAAUGACAGGACACUGCUGUUAAACAUAAUAUGCUAAACCAGCUCCCUUAAGUGCACAACCCUGUCUUCAAAAUGGUGACUUUUAACCUUAAUGCCCACCAUGAAGUGAAAGCCUCCCCUGAGAGAAAAUGCCUUACAUUGUUUGCAGGAAGGGAGGAAAGGGAAAAAGAAAACGCUCUGAAGGCCUCUGCCCUUGCCUCCAGCCGCCAUCUUGCGAAGGCCUGCGCCGGCUUAGUGGCGCCCCGCCAGAUUACAACUCGAGGUCGCGAACUCAGCGCGCGGAACCUGUUGGGGGAGGGGAGAGAGGGCGGAGU